UUUGACUUGUGGACAGUGGAAAAAUAUGAACGUUGUUGAAACGGUAACAUUUUCUUACCGUUUGAAAAUAUAGUAUUUUUAUUGGAAAAAGAUCAGAUAAUGACUCUCUAUAAAUACUCCUUUCUUGAAUCAGAAAUCUGAAUCGUCUUUACUUGGUUUUAUUUCUUACAAAUGUCGAAUACAAUCUUUUUUUACUUCUCUUAGUUCUGUGAUUCCACUUGAGGAGCUGUCACUCAAACUUAUCUACAUUUCUCAUGAGCCGACAGAAACAAAACAUAAAGCAUCCUCUUACAAGAGGGUGGGUUGAAGAAGGGAAAACAAAGCCUUGGGAUGUCCAGCAUUUUCCAUCUUCUGCUUUGCCAGCCUUUAAAAUUGACCAGACUGUGUAUGUAGUAGCAAUUUUUGUAUUUUCCUUUUUCUUUCCGGAUUAAGACACAUGGAUGCAUGUAUGUAGAUGAUUGAUUAGGGUGUGAAUGUACAGAUGUGUAUGAUUAGGGUGUGAAUGUAUAGAUGUAUGUAUAGGAUGUGAAUGUAUAUCUAGUAGAGAAUGUAUAGGCUGCA